CUACGGGCCGCUGCAGUGAGGAAUAUUGCACAAUGGGGGGAACCCUGAUGCAGCAACGCCGCGUGGAGGAUGACGCAUUUCGGUGUGUAAACUCCUUUUAUAUGUCAAGAAAAUGACGGUAGCAUAUGAAUAAGCACCGGCUAACUCCGUGCCAGCAGCCGCGGUAAUACGGUGGGUGCAAGCGUUACUCGGAAUCACUGGGCGUAAAGGACGCGUAGGCGGGCUUGUAAGUCAGGUGUGAAAUCCUACAGCUUAACUGUAGAACUGCACUUGAAACUACGAGCCUAGAGUAUGGGAGGGGGAGAUGGAAUUAGUGGUGUAGGGGUAAAACCCGUAGAUAUCACUAGGAAUACCUAAAGCGAAGGCGAUCUCCUGGAACAUAACUGACGCUAAGGCGUGAAAGCGUGGGGAGCAAACAGGAUUAGAUACCCCCGUAGUC
rnacentral:rRNA from 1 species